rnacentral:rRNA from 1 species
UACGGGGGUGCGAGCGUUGUCCGGAAUCACUGGGCGUAAAGGGCGCGUAGGUGGUGUCGUAAGUCUGUGGUGAAAGCCCGGGGCUCAACCCCGGGUCUGCCGCGGAGACUGCGAGACUCGAGUACUGUAGGGGCUGGUAGAAUGCCGGGUGUAGCGGUGGAAUGCGUAGAGAUCCGGCGGAAGACCGGUGGCGAAGGCGGCCAGCUGGGCAGUGACUGACACUGAGGCGCGACAGCGUGGGGAGCAAACAGG